CGUUCUGGACGGAGCACCGAGAGGACGGCGAAGACAACGUGGCUGUUCCGCGCCAGCCGUAGCAGGCCUCGACCGUCUUCCCAGCAGGCAGCGUCAACGGUAGCGUGCUGGCUUCCGUGGUUCUCGGUGGCCAGACACUGCGGGGUGGCGCAUGGACUUUGCUCAAGGCGGUCCCGUUCAAGCACUGCUGCCGGCUGUCUCGCAGUUUCUCUCUGUACCAGGCAGCGCAGGUCCUGUAGCAACUUCUCGUCGACCGCAAGUGGAUCUGGUUCAUCAGAGCUGCUACGGUGGCAGCAGCAGUGCCCGGAGGCGGUCACCUGGAGGGCUCCUCCGUCUUCGGGAAGCUGUCAGGCGUGUUGCGCCUUCAGCCACCCCGUGGAAACGCCGUCGACCAGAUUACGGUUCACGAUACCCCUGGGGUCACCGGCGAGACGUGGGGAAGUGUCCUCUGCCUGGAGGAGCUGACUCGGUCAUUGGUCGCCGGUUUUCCCACUGUCAUAUUCGCGCAUGCGCCUGAUGGCGUCUCUUCCCGGGAUGGCCGCGCAGCGAAGCCACCGAGUACAGCCAAGGUCAGAGGACGACGCCAACCGGUCAACAGCCAUUAAAGACACAGCGGAGAGUGCACGGGGUUAAGUGGCUACGGGACUCGCGUAGGCGAGAGAGGGCGAAGCAGACCGUUCUCGCCAAGAGAUCUCACCGGCGACGGCUUGUUCACGCUUCUUCGCCGCUUCAUCUUGGAAACGGCACAGGUAUAGGAUUCCACCAUGGAUCGGGCGUGUCUCCGGCACGCAGUCGCCAGUGCCCUCCGAGCCGCAAUCUCGCUGUGUCUAUAGGGACGAACCUGUCGGGCUAGGUUCUUGCUCCGCUUGGUGUGGUGGCGGUGUAUUUGUGCGUGAUUAUUGCGUUUAUUUCAUGUAGCGACUACCUUUCGGUCCUAUUUCUCAAUGUAGUGUAUUUUAGUGUACGUGUUCAUUUCGUGCGCUAUAUAUCUAUCGAUUUAUGCGUUAUUAUUGAUAAUAUUUCUGCGUUAUAAUUUAUUCAUGUGGAACAGUUCUGGAAGGUUUGCGAAAGAGUUCCGGUAGGCUUGCCUAAAAGUGCAGAGAAGUUUUCGAAAAACAUAUUUCAGCUAGCGACCUUCCAAACAACCAUCAACACAAGCCAG